UACGGAGGAUGCAAGCGUUAUCCGGAAUUAUUGGGCGUAAAGAGUCUGUAGGCGGCCCGGCAAGUCUGCUGUCAAAGAAUGGAGCUUAACUCCAUAAGGGCAGUGGAAACUGCAGAGCUAGAGUCUAGGACGGGUAGAGGGAAUUCCCAGUGUAGCGGUGAAAUGCGUAGAGAUUGGGAAGAACACCGGUGGCGAAAGCGCUCUACUGGACUAGAACUGACGCUGAGGGACGAAAGCUAGGGU
rnacentral:rRNA from 1 species